CCUCUUUGGGGAGUAGCCUGCUUCCACUGCGGUGGAAAGCGUUCUGAUCAACAUACUCGGCAACCGCCGUGGUCAGGACAGCCGGUCAGGGUUGGCGAGACCAGAGGCAUCACCGCGCCAUGCCGGGCGUGCGGGGGUGUCUUGUGGAUCGAGCCCGGUCGGCGCUGUG
rnacentral:sRNA from 2 species